rnacentral:rRNA from 1 species
UACGGAGGGUGCGAGCGUUGUCCGGAAUCACUGGGCUUAAAGGGCGCGUAGGCGGCUCGCAAGGUCGGGGGUGAAAUCCCGCAGCUCAACUGCGGAAGUGCCUUCGAUACCGGCGGGCUCGAGGAAGGUAGGGGUGCGCGGAACUUCUGGUGGAGCGGUGAAAUGCGUUGAUAUCAGAAGGAACGCCGGCGGCGAAAGCGGCGCACUGGACCUUUUCUGACGCUGAGGCGCGAAAGCCAGGGGAGCAAACGGG